rnacentral:lncRNA from 1 species
GUUAGGCCUGGGCUGCACGCCGUCGUCGCUCCGCUAGCCCACCGUCGAUUGUCGGUGGUCCUCCACCACCUCGAUUUUCGUGCUGACUUCAAAAGCACGUAUCUUUUCUGCCUGGACUCUAUUUUUCAUCGUGAAUCUCGCUGUGGGCUCAAUGUGGAUCGAAUCUCGAGGUGUCAAAUCCUAACAUAAAGGCAAUAGAGAAAUGGAUGAAGAUGGAGGGAGCUAUCAUGAAGAAGGAGAAAUAGAUAAAGAGAAAUAAGAGGGGAAAGAAUGGAUUGCCAAUGAAAAAGGGUGGAUGCGGAAGAGGCUAUCGUAGAGUGUUAGAGCUAAUGAGUAGAUUUGGGGAGGAAAAUGAUGAGGAGGAAAAGGAGGAGAAAAAAAGGUGCAAGUAAAGAAUGGGUUUGAGAAAGAGAGAACGAACAAGGAGAAGAAAAGGAUGGAAAGGAAGCAGA